UUUACUAUAAUUAAUAUGAAUCAAAUCUUAAUUCUCAUAUCAAUUCAAUUCGAUAAUUUUCAAACCAAAAAUCCUUAUAAGUCAAAUCAUAAAAAAAAAUCCUUCGAUGCUCCACCAAAUUUGGACAUAAUCAGAAUAUAUAAGAAUUUCAAAUCAUUAUUUUUUUUUCUAAAAAUUUCUAUCAUCAGGAUCUUCAAUAUCUAUCAAAUAUCCUUUCAUAACAAUCAUACAAGCUUCAAAAAUUAAAUCUCCAUUUAAUAGUAGAUUCAAUUAGGGAC
rnacentral:lncRNA from 1 species